GCAAAACCAAAUACAUAUAUACCUCUUUCUCUAUAUAUAUCUAUAUACCUUCUUUCUUUCUCUUUUAAAAACGUAGGAUUCCCAGUUGCUUACACGAUCUCUUCCUCCCAAAACUCCUUCUCCACAUACUUACGAUUCUGGGAUUCAUUAGAAAACUCAUUCCCACCCUCGUUCAAUCUCUGGGUCUCAGUGAUUUCCUCGAACCCAACAUUUACUGGACGGACCGACCCUAUUCCGUUUCCGAAUUCUACUCCGUCUUAGCCGUCCUGAUCCAGGAACUCCUACCCGUCAUGAAAUUCUCCGACCGGGUGGACCCGCACGAGAGUUGUGCGGUGUGCCUAUACGAGUUCGACGGUAGUGAUGAGAUGAGACGAUUGACCAGUUGCCACCACAUAUUUCACCAGAGGUGUCUAGAUUGUUCUAUCAUCUCCUCUAUUCCCGACAACACAACGCUCUAUCUUCCAUUAAUUGUAAAGAAUACAACAUCGAACGUCUCACCGACUAUUAGGGUUAUGCAUCAGAUCGCUCUCUACUCUAAUCUGUUGCUCUCUAUCUCACUAUCUCUCCAUCACUGGCAUUCAACAAGGCUUCCAAGAAGAAAUUUGACAGUGAUCCUGAUUUCAACUAAUGUGCACUAGGCUGCUGUCAUUCUUCAAGUGAAUAACUUACUUUUAUAGCUCAAGCACUUGUGAGGUUUCAUAUUGAUUGCAAUCUAGCUUCCCUUUUCGGAUUCGGAUCUCGAAUUUCUUUUGGGAUUCUAAUAUGUGUAUGUGAUUAACAUUGUGUAAUAUUGGAUUCGGAUAUUGAAUUUCUUUUUCGAUUUUGAAAUGUGCUUGUAGUUAGUAUUUUAGAUUUUGGAUUAUUUGCACAUUUUAAUAUUUGAAUUCUUAAUGGAAUGUGUGUUUGUUA